GCCCAGCUAGCUCAGUCGGUACAGCAUGAGACUCUUAAUCUUAGGGUCGUGGAUUCAAGCCACACUUGCCG
rnacentral:tRNA from 1 species